UACGUAGGGGGCUAGCGUUGUCCGGAAUCAUUGGGCGUAAAGCGCGUGUAGGCGGCCCGGUAAGUCCGCUGUGAAAGUCCAGGGCUCAACCCUGGAAUGCCGGUGGAAACUGUCGGGCUAGAGUCCGGAAGAGGCGAGUGGAAUUCCUGGUGUAGCGGUGAAAUGCGCAGAUAUCAGGAGGAACACCAAUUGCGAAGGCAGCUCGCUGGGACGUUACUGACGCUGAGACGCGAAAGCGUGGGGAGCAAACAGG
rnacentral:rRNA from 1 species